rnacentral:rRNA from 1 species
UACGAAGGGGGCUAGCGUUGCUCGGAAUCACUGGGCGUAAAGGGUGCGUAGGCGGGUCUUUAAGUCAGGGGUGAAAUCCUGGAGCUCAACUCCAGAACUGCCUUUGAUACUGAGGAUCUUGAGUUCGGGAGAGGUGAGUGGAACUGCGAGUGUAGAGGUGAAAUUCGUAGAUAUUCGCAAGAACACCAGUGGCGAAGGCGACUCACUGACCCGAUACUGACGCUGAGGCGCGAAAGCGUGGGGAGCAAACAGG